GACGAACGCUGGCGGCGUGCCUAAUACAUGCAAGUAGAACGCUGAAGAGAGGAGCUUGCUCUUCUUGGAUGAGUUGCGAACGGGUGAGUAACGCGUAGAUAACCUGCCUUGUAGCGGGGGAUAACUAGUGGAAACGAUAGCUAAUACCGCAUAACAAUGGAUGACACAUGGCAUUUAUUUGAAAGGGGGAAUUGCUCCACUACAAGAUGGACCUGCGUUGUAUUAGCUAGUAGGUGAGGUAAUGGCUCACCUAGGCGACGAUACAUAGCCGACCUGAGAGGGUGAUCGGCCACACUGGGACUGAGACACGGCCCAGACUCCUACGGGAGGCAGCAGGAGGGAAUCUUCGGCAAUGGGGGCAACCCUGACCGAGCAACGCCGCGUGAGUGAAGAAGGGUGUCGGAUCGUAAAGCUCUGUUGUAAGUCAAGAACGGGUGUGAGAGUGGAAAGUUCACACUGUGACGGCAGCUUACCAGAAAGGGACGGCUAACUACGUG
rnacentral:rRNA from 1 species